UGAAUACGAGAUGCUACGGCGUCGAAGCAGUCUAUGUCAUACUUCCAAGAAAAGCUUGCACUGUCAUAAACAAAUAAUGCCUGUACCAUAACCGACACAGGUGGGUAGGUAGAGUAUACUAAGGGGCGCGAGAUAACUCUCUCUAAGGAACUCGGCAAAAUGACUCUGUAACUUCGGGAGAAGGAGUGCCUUAUUUAUAAGGUUGCAAUAACAAGACCCAAGCAACUGUUUAUCAAAAACACAGGUCUCCGCUAAGUCGUAAGACGAUGUAUGGGGGCUGACGCCUGCCCAGUGCCAGAAGGUUAAAGAAGUUGGUUAGCAUUAGCGAAGCUGAUGACUGAAGCCCUGGUGAACGGCGGCCGUAACUAUAACGGUCCUAAGGUAGCGAAAUUCCUUGUCGGGUAAGUUCCGACCCGCACGAAAGGCGUAAUGAUUUGGGUACUGUCUCAGAGAGGGACUCGGUGAAAUAGACUUGUCUGUGAAGAUGCGGACUACCUGCACCUGGACAGAAAGACCCUAUGAAGCUUUACUGUAACCUGAAAUUGAAAUUGGACUUUAUUUGCGCAGUAUAGGUGGGAGGCUUUGAAGAUAUUCUUGCGGGAAUGUUGGAGCCAUCAGUGAGAUACCACUCUUGUAAUGUUAGAUUUCUAACUUUGUAUCAUUAUCUGGUCAAAGAACAGUUUCAGGCGGGCAGUUUGACUGGGGCGGUCGCCUCCUAAACGGUAACGGAGGCGCACAAAGGUUUCCUCUGAACGGGUAGAAAUCGUAUCUAGAGUGUAAAGGCAUAAGGAAGCUUGACUGUGAGACCUACAAGUCGAGCAGGGACGAAAGUCGGUCUUAGUGAUCUGACGGUGCUGAGUGGAAAGGCCGUCACUCAACGGAUAAAAGUUACUCUAGGAUAACAGGCUGAUCUCCCCCAAGAGUUCACAUCGACGGGGAGGUUUGGCACCUCGAUGUCGGCUCAUCGCAUCCUGGGGCGGUAGUACGUCCCAAGGGUUGGGCUGUUCGCCCAUGAAAGCGGUACGCGAGCUGGGUUCAGAACGUCGUGAGACAGUUCGGUCCAUAUCCGGUGUAGGCGUUAGAAUAUUGAGAGGAGCCUUCUCUAGUACGAGAGGACCGAGAAGGACACACCUCUGGUGUACCAGUUAUCGUGCCAACGGUAAACGCUGGGUAGCUAUGUGUGGAGCGGAUAACCGCUGAAAGCAUCUAAGUGGGAAGCCCACCUCAAGAUAAGUAUUCUCAUC
rnacentral:rRNA from 1 species